AACGAACGCUGGCGGCAUGCCUAACACAUGCAAGUCGAACGAGACCUUCGGGUCUAGUGGCGCACGGGUGCGUAACGCGUGGGAACCUGCCCUUAGGUUCGGAAUAACUCCCCGAAAGGGGUGCUAAUACCGGAUAAUGUCUUCGGACCAAAGAUUUAUCGCCUUUGGAUGGGCCCGCGUUGGAUUAGCUAGUUGUUAGGGUAAAAGCCUACCACGGCGACGAUCCAUAGCUGGUCUGAGAGGAUGAUCAGCCACACUGGGACUGAGACACGGCCCAGACUCCUACGGGAGGCAGCAGUGGGGAAUAUUGGACAAUGGGCGAAAGCCUGAUCCAGCAAUGCUGCGUGAGUGAUGAAGGCCUUAGGGUUGUAAAGCUCUUUUACCCGGGAUGAUAAUGACAGUACCGGGAGAAUAAGCUCCGGCUAACUCCGUG
rnacentral:rRNA from 1 species